rnacentral:misc_RNA from 1 species
AACUUUUGGCAACGGAUCUCUUGGUUCUGGCAUCGAUGAAGAACGCAGCGAAAUGCGAUAAGUAGUGUGAAUUGUAGAAUUCAGUGAAUCAUCGAAUCUUUGAACGCACAUUGCGCCCCUUGGUAUCCCGAGGGGCAUGCCUGUUCGAGCGUCAUUUCACCACUCAAGCCUGGCUUGGUGUUGGGCGACGUCCCCUUUGGGGACGCGUCUCGAAACGCUCGGCGGCGUGGCACCGGCUUUAAGCGUAGCAGAAUCUUUCGCUUUGAAAGUCGGGGCCCCGUCUGCCGGAAGACCUACUCGCAAGGUUGACCUCGGAUCAGGCAGGGAUACCCGCUGAACUUAAGCAUAUCAAUAAGCGGAGGCU